CAUUUGAUUCAAUAAACUGUAUUAUUAAGAUAGUAGCAAACGUUAAUAGUUAGCAUUAGUUGACAUUAGUAGUAGUUAUGCUAAGGCUUGGUAGGCCGCAUGUAACCUGCAGAUGAACUGUAUAGCAGAUAUUGCAAUGUAAGCAGUGUAGCUAGGAGAUAAUCUAAGGAAUGUACCUUUUGGCAAAACUUAUAGGUCAAAGAGAUAAUUGUACCAAGUAGUGAAAGAAAGUAAGAAAUUGUUAUGAUGAAGAAAUCAUGUAGAAAACAUAUAAAAACCCUGUAAUUUUUCUGUGGAGUGGGGCUCUGUCUUUGGACGCUAGUCCACAGGCUCCCGGGCCCUCAAUAAAGCACCGCAUAAACGACUUCGGUUGUUUGUGUUUUCUUCGGAUCGGGCAACAGUUUUCUGGCGACCGUGGCAGGACUCCGAAGGUGACUGGGGCGGUUCGCGUUCUGAUCCACUCCACGCCGGCACCGAGUGAUUCUCGGGGAGUCAUCGGUUCGUGCCCGACCCCCGCACCUGGCGGACGACUGUGAGAGGAGUCAUUGAAAAGGAAACAAAACGUACCAGAAGAGUGAUGAAAGCCUUGGCAAAAACCAACGAGAUACGCCGACCUCCUCCGAAGUAUGAAGAUGUCAUUGGGCAAGAAAAUCCAGCAUUUGAAAGAACCAAUGAUAACUAAGAGUUGAGCAUUCUUGCAGAAGAUUGAAGAAUUCUCAAAAGGGGGGAACUGUUGCCAUUUGAUUCAAUAAACUGUAUUAUUAAGAUAGUAGCAAACGUUAAUAGUUAGCAUUAGUUGACAUUAGUAGUAGUUAUGCUAAGGCUUGGUAGGCCGCAUGUAACCUGCAGAUGAACUGUAUAGCAGAUAUUGCAAUGUAAGCAGUGUAGCUAGGAGAUAAUCUAAGGAAUGUACCUUUUGGCAAAACUUAUAGGUCAAAGAGAUAAUUGUACCAAGUAGUGAAAGAAAGUAAGAAAUUGUUAUGAUGAAGAAAUCAUGUAGAAAACAUAUAAAAACCCUGUAAUUUUUCUGUGGAGUGGGGCUCUGUCUUUGGACGCUAGUCCACAGGCUCCCGGGCCCUCAAUAAAGCACCGCAUAAACGAC